UUAGCUCUAAUUUGUAUGGAGCUGGAAAGUUUGCCUACGUUUGCCGCUAGGGACACUGUCCCAACUGCAUACAAAUGUGAGUUA
rfam:Bombyx mori DNA, contig: Bm_scaf35_contig21126, strain: p50T/Dazao, build 2, whole genome shotgun sequence.